UUAGAGCUGGAGUUUUGCCUUCUUUUACUAGCUCUGACCUUAUAGAGCGAGGAAAGAGGUCGGAAAUAUCUUUUGCAGAGGGGUCUAAUUAGUAAGCUUCAGAAAUUUCCUUGAGCUUGGCUAAUAUGAAAGGAAAUAACUUAUCUUCUCUUAUGUUAAUUGUAAAUUACUGUGUGUACUAAUAUAUAUGAUCUUUUCACAUGUUUUGUUCUUGCUCUUGGACCCAGAAAUCUUAACAGGAUAAUGGCACUAGCUUGAGAUAUGACAAUUAGUUCGAUGCAAGAAGAAUGGCCAUUAGGUAGUGUUGAACUACAGCUCUUCAUUUCAGCAGAUCUUCAUUUGCUUGUGAAAGGAUCAAGUUCAAACUUUGUAAAAUGUACUCUUGAAUUUAGGCCUAUCUGAAAGGGGAUAAUUGCUCUUCUUCCAUCUCUGGUGUUCAACACAACUUAGUUUUAUUGAUGCAUAAUGUCUUCUGCACGUUCUAUUAUUUCAUUCCUACAGGAGCACAAAAUUGAGGCUUAAUUCCUAACUUUGUUCUCUAUUCAUGUUAACAUAUUUUCUUUCUACUAUAGAUGCAAUUAUGAUGAUGAUGGCUGAGUUCCCUUU